rnacentral:rRNA from 1 species
UACGAAGGGAGCUAGCGUUGCUCGGAAUCACUGGGCGUAAAGCGCACGUAGGCGGGUCCUUAAGUCGGGGGUGAAAUCCCGGAGCUCAACUCCGGAACUGCCUUCGAUACUGGGGACCUCGAGUCCGGGAGAGGUGAGUGGAACUGCGAGUGUAGAGGUGAAAUUCGUAGAUAUUCGCAAGAACACCAGUGGCGAAGGCGGCUCACUGGCCCGGUACUGACGCUGAGGUGCGAAAGCGUGGGGAG